rnacentral:rRNA from 1 species
AUUGAACGCUGGCGGCAUGCCUUACACAUGCAAGUCGAACGGUAACAGGUCUUCGGAUGCUGACGAGUGGCGAACGGGUGAGUAAUACAUCGGAACGUGCCCGAGAGUGGGGGAUAACGAGGCGAAAGCUUUGCUAAUACCGCAUACGAUCUCAGGAUGAAAGCGGGGGACCGCAAGGCCUUGCGCUCACGGAGCGGCCGAUGGCAGAUUAGGUAGUUGGUGGGAUAAAAGCUUACCAAGCCGACGAUCUGUAGCUGGUCUGAGAGGACGACCUGCCACACUGGGACUGAGACACGGCCCAGACUCCUACGGGAGGCAGCAGUGGGGAAUUUUGGACAAUGGGCGCAAGCCUGAUCCAGCCAUGCCGCGUGCAGGAUGAAGGCCUUCGGGUUGUAAACUGCUUUUGUACGGAACGAAAAGACUCUAGUUAAUACCUGGGGUCCAUGACGGUACCGUAAGAAUAAGCACCGGCUAACUACGUGCCAGCAGCCGCAGUAAGAC